AGCAGCCGCGGUAAUCCCAGCUCCAAUAGCGUAUAUUAAAGUUGUUGCAGUUAAAAAGCUCGUAGUUGAAUUUCGGGGUCAGUAGGUUGGUCGUGCCACCGGUACGUACUGGUCUCACUGAUUCCUCCUUCCUGAUGAGCUGUAAUGCCAUUAAUUUGGUGUUGCAGGGAAUCUGGACUGUUACUUUGAAAAAAUUGAGUGUUUAAAGCAGGCUAACGCUCGAAUACAUUAGCAUGGAAUAAUGAAAUAGGACGUUCGAUCCUAUUUUGUUGGUUUCUAGGAUUGACGUAAUGAUUAAUAGGGAUAGUUGGGGGCAUUAGUAUUCAAUUGUCAGAGGUGAAAUUCUUGGAUUUAUUGAAGACUAACUACUGCGAAAGCAUUUGCCAAGG
rnacentral:rRNA from 1 species